GACGAACGCUGGCGGCGUGCCUAAUACAUGCAAGUCGAACGCACAGCUUAUACCGUAGCUUGCUUCACCAUAGACUGUGAGUUGCGAACGGGUGAGUAACGCGUAGGUAACCUGCCUUGCAGCGGGGGAUCACUAUUGCUAACGCUUGCUAAUACCGCACAAUAUUCAUUAUUGUAUGAUCAUUAAUUGAAAGGUGCAACUGCACCACUACCAGAUGGACAUGCGUUGUAUUAGCUAGUAGGUGAGGUAACGGCUCACCUAGGCGACGAUACAUCGCCGACCUGAGAGGGUGAUCGACCACACUGGGACUGGGACACGGCCCAGACACCUACGGGAGGCAGCAGUAGGGAAUCUUCGGCAAAGGACGAAAGUCUGACCGAGCAACGCCGCGUGGGUGAAGAAGGUUAUCGGAUCGUAAAGCUCUGUUGUAAGAGAAGAACGGGUGGGAGAGUGGAAAGUUCACACUGUGACGGUAUCUAACCAGUAAGGUACGGCUAACUGCGUG
rnacentral:rRNA from 1 species